rnacentral:rRNA from 1 species
GUAGGGAAUAUUGCACAAUGGAGGAAACUCUGAUGCAGCGACGCCGCGUGAGUGAUGAAGGCCUUCGGGUCGUAAAGCUCUGUCGCAGGGGAAUAACACAAUGAAGGUACCCUGUAAGAAAGGAUCGGCUAACUUCGUGCCAGCAGCCGCGGUAAGACGAGGGAUCCUAGCGUUGCUCGGAAUCAUUGGGCGUAAAGAGGGCGUAGGUGGCUUGGUAAGUCAGGUGUGAAAGCCCAGGGCUCAACCCUGGAAGUGCAUUUGAUACUGCUGAGCUUGAGUGUCGGAGAGGUUACCGGAAUACCUGGUGUAGUGGUGAAAUACGUAGAUAUCAGGUGGAACACCGGAGGCGAAGGCGGGUAACUGGACGAACACUGACACUGAGGCCCGAAAGCGUGGGGAUCAAACAGGAUUAGAAACCCCAGUAGUCC